AAAAUAUCGAAAGAACCACAACAGUCUGUUUCAUCCGUAUAGGAAUCAUCAGGUGGUGAAUCUCCUGAUGAUUCCUAUAUACGGAUGAAACAGACUGUUGUGGUUCUUUGA